AGUGAACGCUGGCGUUAGACCUGACCCAUGCACGUCGAACGGCAGCACAGUAAGAGCUUGCUCUGACGGGUGGCGAGUGGCGGACGGUUGGGGAAUACCUCGGAACUUACUUUUUAGUGGGGGAGAAGGUAGGGAAAAUUACGCUAAGAACGCAUACCACCCACGGGAGAAAGCAGCAGAACGUCGUACCUUAGGCGAUUGAAUAGGACCAGGUAGGAUUAGCAGGGUGGCGGGGUAAAGGCCCACUAAGGCGGCGAGCCGGAGGGGGUCUGAGAGGAUGAUCACACACACUGGAUCAGAGACACGUUCCAGACUCCUACGGGAGGUAGCAGUGGGGAAUAUUGGACCAUGGGCGGAAGCCUGAUCCAGCAAUACCGCGUGGGUGAAGAAGGCCUUGUGGGUGUAAAGCCCUUUUGUUGGGAAAGAAGAGCAACAGGUAACUACCCCGCUGUUCUGACGGUACCCAAAGACUAAGCACCGGCUAACUUCGUG
rnacentral:rRNA from 1 species